GAUGAACGCUGGCGGCGUGCCUAAUACAUGCAAGUCGAGCGAACAGAUGAGGAGCUUGCUCCUCUGACGUUAGCGGCGGACGGGUGAGUAACACGUGGAUAACCUACCUAUAAGACUGGGAUAACUUCGGGAAACCGGAUCUAAUACCGGAUAAUAUAUUGAACCGCAUGGUUCAAUAGUGAAAGACGGUUUUGCUGUCACUUAUAGAUGGAUCCGCGCCGCAUUAGCUAGUUGGUAAGGUAACGGCUUACCAAGGCAACGAUGCGUAGCCGACCUGAGAGGGUGAUCGGCCACACUGGAACUGAGACACGGUCCAGACUCCUACGGGAGGCAGCAGUAGGGAAUCUUCCGCAAUGGGCGAAAGCCUGACGGAGCCACGCCGCGUGAGUGAUGAAGGUCUUCGGAUCGUAAAACUCUGUUAGUAGGGAAGAACAAAUGUGUAAGUAACUAUGCACGUCUUGACGGUACCUACUCAGAAAGCCACGGCUAACUACGUG
rnacentral:rRNA from 1 species